GUCUUUUCCUUCAAGCUGGUGAUGGAGUCUUUGGCGCGGACCAAUCCACUGUUGACCCCACUCUGGGGAAGAAUGGGAGACAGGGCUGUCUUGGACCAGCAGAUAGAGGACACAAUGAAACAGAAGAAGCCUGAAUCCUUGACAUGGAGCCACCAUACUCCAUUCCAACCACCUGUGAAGACUUUCAGGGGAACGAUAGCCUCAAUGUCAUAAGCAGCCACCUAUGAAGAGGCCCAUGUAGCAAGGAAUUGAGGCCUCCAGCCAAGGGCAGGUGAGUGCCCCAUUUUGGUAGCACAACCUCUGGCCCCAGUCCAACCUUCAGGUGACUGCAGCCCCAGCCAAAAUCUUGUUUGCAACCUCGUGAGACGCCCUGAGCCAGGCCCACCCAGCUGAGCCCCUCCAAGUUUGUUGUUUGAAGUUUUGGUGUAAUUGGUUUCACAGCAAUAGAAAGCAUUACACAAAGUGUCUUUCUAACCUGAAGACUCAGAAGGUCUUGGGUUUCCUGUGGGUAAUUGUUCUGGAAACCAAGGCAACAGGACCUAGGGCCAACUAAUUUCUCCCAGUUACUAGCCGUAUGACCUCAUGGAGAGGACUUCACCUCUCUGUGCCUCUGCUUCCCUACCUGUGAAAUGGAGAUAUAACUAACAACUACCUUCACAGGGUUCCCAUUGUCCUUCCUCCUACCUGGAAACUGACACUCUCUCAACCAGGGUCUCCAUCACCGCCUGGUUCUCUGUCCCCCUCUUUCCAGUUCUCUGUCCCCACCCAGCCCCUGUGUCUGUUCCUUCUCUCUCUGGGUCUCUAUCCCCCUCCUCUAUUUCUGGUCUUCUGUCUCACCCUGAUUCAGCUCUGUCCCCCAAAUCUCAGAGUCUCUGACUUAUUUUUCCUGAGUCUCUGCCUUUCUACUCUUUAGGUCUCUGUCUUCUUUUUUUUUUUUUUUUUUUGAGA
rnacentral:lncRNA from 1 species